rnacentral:rRNA from 1 species
AGUGAACGCUGGCGGUAGGCCUAACACAUGCAAGUCGAACGGCAGCACAGAGGAGCUUGCUCCUUGGGUGGCGAGUGGCGGACGGGUGAGGAAUACAUCGGAAUCUACUCUGUCGUGGGGGAUAACGUAGGGAAACUUACGCUAAUACCGCAUACGACCUACGGGUGAAAGCAGGGGAUCUUCGGACCUUGCGCGAUUGAAUGAGCCGAUGUCGGAUUAGCUAGUUGGCGGGGUAAAGGCCCACCAAGGCGACGAUCCGUAGCUGGUCUGAGAGGAUGAUCAGCCAGACUGGAACUGCGACACGGUCCAGACUCCUACGGGAGGCAGCAGUGGGGAAUAUUGGACAAUGGGCGCAAGCCUGAUUUAGCCAUACCGCGUGGGUGAAGAAGGCCUUCGGGUUGUAAGGCCCUUUUGUUGGGAAAGAAAUCCAUCUGGUUAAUACCCGGGUGGGAUGACGGUACCCAAAGAAUAAGCACCGGCUAACUUCGUGCCAGCCGCCGCCGUAA